UGGACGGGUUUGAGCCUCUCGGAGCUUACAGCCUUGCUGAAUUAUUCACCCUUGUCUUUUGCGUACUUCUUGUUUCCUUGGUGGGUUCGCCCACCACUAGGACAAACAUAAACCUUUUGUAAUUGCAAUCAGCGUCAGUAACAAAUUAAUAAUUACAACUUUCAACAACGGAUCUCUUGGUUCUGGCAUCGAUGAAGAACGCAGCGAAAUGCGAUAAGUAGUGUGAAUUGCAGAAUUCAGUGAAUCAUCGAAUCUUUGAACGCACAUUGCGCCCUUUGGUAUUCCAAAGGGCAUGCCUGUUCGAGCGUCAUUUGUACCCUCAAGCUUUGCUUGGUGUUGGGCGUCUUGUCUCUAGCUUUGCUGGAGACUCGCCUUAAAGUAAUUGGCAGCCGGCCUACUGGUUUCGGAGCGCAGCACAAGUCGCACUCUCUAUCAGCAAAGGUCUAGCAUCCAUUAAGCCUUUUUUUCAACUUUUGACCUCGGAUCAGGUAGGGAUACCCGCUGAACUUAAGCUAAUCAAUAAGCCGGAGGA
rnacentral:rRNA from 1 species